rnacentral:tRNA from 1 species
GAGGAGAUGGCUCAGUGGUUAAGAGCACUGGUAGUUCUUCUAAGAGGACCUGGGUUCAAUUCCCAGCACCCUCA